AAAAAAGAACCUACAAAGUAUCAAAGAUGGGCUACAGUUGGUGCCUCAACAUGGGGCUUCAAAGUUAAGGAUAAAAUGGGAAAUUUGAUUUCAGCUGCCCACAGAGGAAACGGCAGGGGAUGAAGGAAUGUUUUGGUUUUUUUUCCCCCAAGACACCAGAAAAAGUGUAUUGGUGCUGGGAUAUCUGCUCCCAGAGGGGAUUUUCCGUUUUGUUUUGUUUUCUUUUCUUUUCUUUUCUUUUUUUUCGGAGCUGGGGACCGAACCCAGGGCCUUGCGCUUGCUAGGCUCUACCACUGAGCUAAAUCCCCAACCCUUUGUUUUUGUUUUUGUUUUCCUUUUAUUCUUAAAAAAAAAAGGGGGAGGGUCAGGAGAACAGCUAAGCAGUUGGGAAAAUUGCAGGUGGAAAUGGCGGGGCCUGAGAAACAGCAGCUACAACAUGGCUGAAAUGGAAUAACAGAAGGGGUCACUCUACUCUUCUGAAAGGGUUGCAGAGUUCGGGGUGCAGCUGGAGAGGUUGAGGGUGGAGAUGGCAGCACUUGGGAAUCAAGGAGCACCAGAGAGAGAACAAGGCUCCGUCUGGGUGACUGGGAGAGCAGGCAGGUGUUUCCGCAGGUGAAAAGGGGGAAACAACUUCACCAGGAGAAGGUCCGGUCAGAGAGGAGCUGGAAAAGCAGGAAGACAGGCUGAUGGGAGAGUUAGGGAAGGGGUGGCCUGGGGUUAGGAGACCACCAUCAGCUUUUCCAGUGCUCAUACAGCACAUGCCUGCUAAUGGUGGGAACACAGUUAUGAUGAGAUGGGAUGGCGUCCUACAGAAACGAUACACCUAAGGCCUUUUAAAGAGGCUAUGGUUUCAUGUGGGAUGCAUUUGCCUUACGUGAAACAAAUUCUAAAUAACUGGGCUACUCAAAGUAGAAUUAAUCCCCUAAACUGGAAGAGAUUGGGAACAGCUGUACUAGAGGCCAGUCUGAAGUUGCAGUGGUCACCAUGGUGGAGGGAAAAAGUUGUGAAUACUGAAAAGGAAAUAGAGUAAGGGGAAUGAAUACAGUAAAAUGCAGUUGCUAGAUGAAGGGUGGUGCAGUUGCUAGGUGAAGGGUGGUGGUGCAGUUGCUAGGUGAAGGGUGGUGGUGCAGUUGCUAGGUGAAGGGUGGUGGUGCAGUUGCUAGGUGAAGGGUGGUGGUGCAGUUGCUACGUGAAGGGUGGUGGUGCAGUUGCUAGGUGAAGGGUGGUGGUGCAGUUGCUACGUGAAGGGUGGUGGUGCAGUUGCUACGUGAAGGGUGGUGGUGCAGUUGCUACGUGAAGGGUGGUGCUCUGACAAACAGCAGCAGAUUCAGUGUAGUGAUGCUGCUGUAGAACAAUGUCGCUGAGGUUCUGUAAGAGCUUGGGGAAAAGUAUGCCUCACUCACAAAGAUUAUACAAGGCUCUGCAGAAGCCUUCGCUGAUUUUUUACAAAGAUUCGUCUCAACUAUGAACAACGCUAAAUCAGACCCUGACUCAAGGCAGGUGUUGAUAGAGACCAUGGCUCAUGAAGAUACGAACAGGGAAUGUAAAAGCUAUUAAACCAUUAAAGGCUCCAUCGGCACCUAUAGACGGUGGAUAAGGAAUCCCAACCCAACCAGCGCUGGUUCUAACACACACCAUGCUAAUAUCAAACUAUAGCUAGAGGUCUCCAAUAUCAAAGUGCUCAGUGCUUCAGUUGCAGAAAAUAAAGUCAUUUGCAAAGAGACUGUGACAAGGGUGCUAAAGGCCUCAGAUCUCAAAAUGCCUAGUGCUUUAAUUGUGGGGAAAAUGAUCGUUUGCAACAAAAUUGUGAACAAGGCAUCUCUGAGGACAAUGGUUUUUCUAAAUAUAAACCAGAAAGAAAGCCUAGGCUUCCAGGGGUGCACAGGGAAUGUGGCCAGGGUUGACAUUGGAGCCAUGAGUGUAGGUCCAAGAGAGAGAUUCAAGGUCAUUUCUGACCAUCAGAAACAGCCCUGGGGGCCUAGCCUGAGACCCUGCAGCAAAAAGUACCAGCUGUGUCAGCCAAGGAGUGACACGCAGACUGACAAACGUUCACUUGGCAUUGGAGAUUUGAUGCAUGCCACACAUAGCAGUGCAGCUCUCAGACAGCUACAGGCAAACGUCCUACUCUCUCCCCAGAAACUUGGUGUCACAGUCAACUGGCCAGCUGUGUGGAGCACGUGCAGGACAGUGUGACUUCUUCAUCUUGGAGGCUCUGAGGCUGCCCCUGGGGAGGGAGCACAGAAGAAUGGUCGAGGAAGGGUGGGCAGUGAUUGGUUUGAGAACCUUUGGUUGGGCAGGAAGGACAGACCAGGUUAUGGGGCAUUGAGGACAAGAGGACAGAGUCCGGGCAGCAGAACUGGGACACUUCGUCCACCUCCUCCUCAUUGCAGACACACCUAUCCCCAGGAGACACCCACGACAGCCGUGGCCACCCAUACCUGCCCAGCAGCCUGUGGCUCUGAGAUUAGAUGCAAUGACCUUCAGACACAGUCUAGCACUGGGGCUGGGAAAUGUUGGUUCUUAGUGUCACUCCCCUCCCCCUGGCCCCAGGUGACACCUUUAAAUAGCAUCAGGGUGAGGUUUGCUGACAAGUUUACCUUUUGGGGAGCCCUCUGGAAAGACAACUAGUCCUUCGAGAUGCCUGGAUUCCUUCCUGGUGGCUCAGUAGAUCCUGUCUCUUCCUGUGCCUGGACGGGUCACAGUGGGGGUGGUGCCCAGGAUGAGGAGGAGAAGCUUUCCCCGUGCCUGGGUCCAUCUGGAGCUCACAGUGCACACACAUAGCACAAGGCCCUGUGACUUUCUGGCCAUCCGUCCUGCACACUUCCUCUGUAAGGAAGGUUGGCAAGGACCUGUCUGGAAGGGUCCUGAGGAAGUGGUCAUGUUUCUGGAAAACAAUGUGGCAUAUAGUACCCAGUGCACCCGGCCUCUUUUGUUCCGUGCUGGAACUCAAAGUUCCUCUCCUAGAAUGAACUCCUUGCACCCCUGGACAUUUUUGGAUUCCCUGUAAUACAGAGAUGGCAGGACGCACACCUGGGAGGUGUCUGACUGGGUUUAAUUUAAUAACAGCUCAUUGGAAUAUAAUUUACAUACCACAUAAAUCGCUCAUUUAUGUAUAAACGCAGUUAUUAGUGCAUAAACAUUGGGCAAC
ensembl:lncRNA